AUUGAACGCUGGCGGCAUGCCUUACACAUGCAAGUCGAACGGUAACGCGGGGCAACCUGGCGACGAGUGGCGAACGGGUGAGUAAUGUAUCGGAACGUGCCCAGUUGUGGGGGAUAACUGCUCGAAAGAGCAGCUAAUACCGCAUACGACCUGAGGGUGAAAGCGGGGGAUCGCAAGACCUCGCGCAAUUGGAGCGGCCGAUAUCAGAUUAGGUAGUUGGUGGGGUAAAGGCUCACCAAGCCGACGAUCUGUAGCUGGUCUGAGAGGACGACCAGCCACACUGGGACUGAGACACGGCCCAGACUCCUACGGGAGGCAGCAGUGGGGAAUUUUGGACAAUGGACGCAAGUCUGAUCCAGCCAUGCCGCGUGCGGGAAGAAGGCCUCGGUUGUAAACGCUUUGUCAGGACGAAGCGAAAGUGACUGUACCUGCAGAAGAAGCACCGGCUAACUACGUGCCAGCAGCCGCGGUAAU
rnacentral:rRNA from 1 species